rnacentral:rRNA from 1 species
AUUGAACGCUGGCGGCAGGCCUAACACAUGCAAGUCGAGCGGUAGCACAGAGAGCUUGCUCUCGGGUGACGAGCGGCGGACGGGUGAGUAAUGUCUGGGAAACUGCCUGAUGGAGGGGGAUAACUACUGGAAACGGUAGCUAAUACCGCAUAACGUCGCAAGACCAAAGAGGGGGAACUUCGGGCCUCUUGCCAUCAGAUGUGCCCAGAUGGGGUUAGCUAGUAGGUAGGGUAACGGCUCACCUAGGCGACGAUCCCUAGCUGGUCUGAGAGGAUGACCAGCCACACUGGAACUGAGACACGGUCCAGACUCCUACGGGAGGCAGCAGUGGGGAAUAUUGCACAAUGGGCGCAAGCCUGAUGCAGCCAUGCCGCGUGUAUGAAGAAGGCCUUCGGGUUGUAAAGUACUUUCAGCGGGGAGGAAGGCGAUAAGGUUAAUAACCUUGUCGAUUGACGUUACCCGCAGAAGAAGCACCGGCUAACUCCGUGCCAGCCGCCGCAGUAA